ACGAGUCGUUAUGGCGGUUGUUUGUAUUUCGUCAUUAUUGGAAAUGGCAGGUCCUAAUUAUUUAAGUCGCACUAUUAACCAUUUUGUCUAUGACGCGAAAAAGUGUUCUGCUAGCAAUACAUUGUAGAUUCGUUCGCCGAGAAACUAUUGUGUGUCUACGAAAGUGUGAAUGCCCUUGGUUCCACAUGGUGGUAACUAAGAGAAAAUAUUCUUAUAGAUCUAGCUGGAACCUUAAGUUCAAGUAAUUGUGUAAAGGAAGACCCAGAAGUAAAAAACUGAAAUGGGUCAAAUGAGAAUAAUUUGAAUAUUUACGUAAAGCUGGAGCAGAUGCAGGGUGAAGAAGAUGCAACUGGCUAACAUCGAAAUUAAGCGUAUACAAUAAGUUUUGCUUAGUUAAUGUGUAUGCAGUGUGAAAUGUGAAGUGAUUUCCAGAUGCUGUGUGUUCUUCACUAGUUUUGUAGCUACUGGUGUUUUCUCUACUUGUAUGAGACAACUAUCAUCACAUUUUGCUACAAAGGAAUUUUUAAUUUUUAGUAAUACUUUAGAGCCACAGGCUGUUUCCAUGUGUACCACAGUAUGAUUUUUGCACCCAGCUUCUCACAUCUCAAAUCUCUUAAAAUUUGCUUAGUGCUGUUGUUCACAGUGUGAGGGUGCACAGAUAUAAGAUGAGCAGUUUACAAGCUUGCUUAAGUGGUUCUUGGUUUUCAAACCUGCUGGCAGAAAAAUCAAUGGUUGGCAAUGUAAUAUGUGUAAGAAUGAAACAGAUUUGUGAAGUUACUCCAUUCUGUUAAACUGUUUGUAUGAUUACACCUUUUCUGUCAAUGUUUCUCAAAAUUCACUGGGAGGUACAGUCAUUAGCUGUUAAGAUUAUCCUAACACUUACCCAUGUGAAACAAUGUUCUUUUAUCCCACUUGUAGAUAUUAAUUAUCUGUUACCUGUAGCCAGUCUGGAUAGUUUUAUCCAAUCUGGAAUGUGACUGUGGGAUACAUACACACUCAUCGUGUCAUUAGCUGUUAAGUAAUCUUAAUGAGACAAUAUUCUUUGUCUCGUUCACAGGCAGAAAUGUAUAUUUAAGUGUGCAAAUGUAACCUUGACUUUUUGGUAUGACUGUGGCAUUACAUGCCCAAAUCACACUGAUAUUAAAUGUUAUUCGUAAGCACAAACACAUAUUUAAAUGCCUAGUUGCAAAUUUGACCUCAUGUCAGUCAAAAAAAUGUAUAUGAUUGAGGACUGUGGUGUUGCACACCAAGUCUUCUGAUACUGAUGGUUAACUUCUGUUCUUUCAUUAAUCAGUGUUAGACAAUGUCAGUUUAACACACCUGGACAGCAACUUAUUACUUAAAAACAAAAUAUUUAGGCACUGCUGCCUUUGCAUCUUUUAACCAUUAUGUUUUACUAAGAAUAUGUAAUUUUACACAAUAUACAUUUAUGUACAUUGUCCCAUUAUAUUUAUGGCGUUAUACGCCAAACUUAUAAAAAGGUCCUUAGAAACCUAACACUUAGCUUGACACUAUUUUAGUAAUACGAUUCACGUGUUACAUUUUGUUAAGUUACUACCUGUAUGUGCUGCUAUUCUUACCCAGUUUCUAACUAACCUACACAAUGAAAAUGUCCCUGGUUUAUCUGAAAAUUGGUAUUUGUAACUCACUGGUUGUGGCCAUGGCACUCCAUUCUCUGUUUCACGCUUCAACGAGGUUAGUUUCCCAUGAUCCCAAUGUGACUGGGAGACCACAGGAAUGCUACAUCUUCCUAUUGUCAUGAAGGACUAAGAGAAGAUUUUGGAAUUGCAUGUGUUACCAACAGAUAGUGGUAAUGGGCUGCUCAUUAGGGGUGUGGAGGAGAAUGGCAAAGAUCAAAUGGGAUGACAUGUGAGAGUACAGACCAGCUGUUGCUUCUAUUCCCAGUGUUGAGAGCAGUCAACACUGACCAUAGAAGACAAGACUGCUGAUCGCUAUGCACGACCGUAGGGAGGGAGGCUCGAAAUACUGAGAUGCGUCAUAUAGUGGGUGGCUAUUGAUACCACAAAUCUAUUUGUGAAUUUCUGGGCUUGUAUCUUUCAAAUAAGUGUAAUUUGCAGUUGCUCACACACUGUCUUGAGCAUCGCACCUCUGUAUGUCACACUCUCAUUUUCUGUUAUUACCUCACAAUUAAGAGUACGAUAUUACAUUCUUGUCUGAGAAUUAUUCUAUUAACUGAUAAUUUUGAAGCUGAAUAUUAAUGGACUUGAUUUAAUGGCAGUUUGGUGUUGGCACGUUCAGUGACUUCAUUUGUACAAAUCUGAUGCUAAAUGGUUAAAUAUAAACACGUAUGUUCAAGAAUGAAAUCCACCAGAACUUGUCAAACAGGAAUGAGUUUAAUUAAAAGUGCUGAAUGUUUGUACAUGGGCAGAGUUUAGAAGUACCUGACAUCAAUGCAAGAAGACACCUAAUUACGGGCAGUGAUAAAGACAAUAGGGAAAAGUAAAUCAGACAUAUGUGAAAGGGAAAUGACACCAUAAACACCAUUACUUACAUAUAUAUAACAGGGUAGAGAAAGGAUGUGACUGCUAGAUGAUUGGAAGAGAAGGCACAAACAAUGAACUGAAGACACAACAAUGGAUCACAAGAAAUAGACAGCAAAAAUAUGCUUAUUGGAAAGAAAAUUCAUGAUAAUACUAGAACUCUUAACAUUACUGAAUAUUUAUUUUCUUGCUUAACAUAAUGUGAAAUGUAAGGAAAAUUUACGUUUAGAAUGUUUAUCAUCAGCUGUUCAGUAUAUUUUGAUACAAUUGGCCUUGUCAACAUGUAAAGUACAGUUAAUGAAAUUAAUAAACCAGCUUUGCUUUAUGAGUGAAAAACACACACAAAAUUACAAUUAAAUAUCAGUUACAUACUUACACAUAUUAGUUACAUACAUUUACUGUUUAUGAUUACUUAUGGCUAGUUGAAGCAAUACACCCAAGUAUUUAUAUUUACAUGUACACUAUGUGAUCAAACAUAUCCAGACAUUUGGCUGGAAAUGACUUAAAAGUUCGUGGUGCCCUCAAUCGGUAAUGCUGGAAUUCAGUAUGGUGUUGGCACACCUUUAGCCUGACGACAGCUUCCACUCUCGCAGGCAUAUGUUCAAUCAGGUGCUGGAAGGUUUCUUGGGCAAUGGCAGCCCAUUCUUCACAGAGUGCUGCACUGACGAGAGGUAUCGAUAUUGGUCGGUGAGGCCUGCAUCCCAGAGGUGUUCCAUAGGAUUCAAGUCAGGACUCUGUGCAGGCCAGUCCAUUACAUGGACGUUAUUGUCAUGUAACCACUCUGCCAUGAGUACCUAAUAUGAAAAACGUAUGUUUUUGGGGGUAUAUGGGUACUUUUGAUCACAUAGUGUAUACAGGGUGAAGCAAAAUUCAUGCAAUCAGGCUUCUCAGUGCAACUCCUCAAAUGCCAGUGAUAAAAAAAAUGUCUGAGUACGUCUGGCAGAAAAAGGACGAUAAAGAGUGGCAAUCUGGCAACACUGUAACCACAUAUAUGGUCAUUACCUGUGUCAGCACAUAUGAAUUGUGCUGUAUAUGUGGUGCAGUGAAUAGAGUUUUGGGUUAUAAUGCAGGAGGUCGAGGGUUCGAUCCUGGUUGGGGCGCUUUUUUUUAUUUGCUAAUUUCAUUCUGACAUUUCUACUGUAAUAUACACCAUUUCAUAGCUUACCUGUAUCCUUAAUUUACAAUAUUUUGUAACGCUGAACAUAACAAAUAUGUCUUUAGACAAAUAAGAAAUAGACAGUUGAAACAAAUGUCCUAUCACUGCAUUGAGAUGUGUAGUAAACAGCAUGCGGUUACCAGACUCAUUGUUGAAAGGCAUAAUUAGUGGGACCAUUGUGAUAACACAUACAAUUAGUAACCGAGUUUGGACAUUAUUCGCAAAGCACGUUGCUAGUCCUACUGCUAACGUAAGGCCCUAAUGAAAUGUAAAGGACCUGAACGAGGCAAGAAUAACAGUUGCUACUAAUCUAUGGGACCAUUGGAGAAGGGUACAAAGAAAAACAGCUUUCGCGACUAGUAGAUGAAGUGGUGCGAAUAAAUUCCAGCCCACAAUGUGGAAAGGGCUUCUUUCAAAGCUGACCAAUCUUCCAUUUCUACAAUUGUAGUAUGUAAGUGCAGAUGUUUUCUAGAGGACCUGCUGCAAUUGCUGUUCACGAUUAAGAUGCCAGAUACUGUACCAUCUGGACUACAUUUACCAUAUAAAAAACAUAUGCCCUAACACAGUACCGAACCAUCAUCGUUCUGCAUGAUAACCCAAAACUCUACCCACUGCACCACAUAUACAGCACAACUGAUACACGCUGACAGAGGAAUAUACCAUAUAUGUGGUUACAGUGUUACCACAUUGUCAAUCUUUUAACGUCCUUUUUCUGCCAGGUGUUCUUGCCAGACUAAAUUUUGAAAGAGACAUUUUUUUAUUGCUGGCGUGUGAGGAGUCGUGCUGUGAAGCCUAGUGCGUGAAUUUUGCUUCACCCUGUAUAAACACCAAAUUCUAAUUGUAUGAUUAUUACAUGCAAUUUUACUGACACAGGCAGCUAUCCAAAGCACAAUCCUUGGAAAUCACUCUCCGUGAAUUCAUCAACUCUAUAAAAGUCUUGCUCUUUUAGCACAGUUUCUAAUAUUUUCUAGCAUUUCAGUAAGGGAAUCUAGUGAGCUCUUUUUGGCAGUUUGUUGAAGAAUUUAAGACUCACGUGUUUGUGGCUAUUGUGACUGAAGAAAAGAACUGUUAUGGUUUAAUGUCCCAUCAACAACAAGAGACACACAAUUAGGGCAACACCAGCUCAGGUUGGGGACAGAUAGGAACAGAUUGGUCAUGUCCUUUUCAACUAUCUUAUUAUUUACCCCACUCUGCCACCACAAUCGGUGAGAAUUUCUUAGGGACCAUCUGGAUGCAUGUAGAAAGAAGCACCAAAGCUUCAACCCUGUCAGGUAAAAAAUUUGUGAAUAAAAUAAUGAAGCUGUAGGCAUGUAAUACCGGAAGCAUGUUCUCAUUUGGCCAUCUCCUGGAACAAUUAAUGGUAGUAUCCUAUUACAGAUUUGCACAUAUGAAACAGUACAGAAAUAUACAAACACUUGAAAAAACUGAGUAUUACUGUAAGAUUUCUCAUGGACAAUAUGUAUGUGUCUAAGAAAAUUAUUUUAACUACUCACACUGCAACAAUUACUGCCACACUGAACAACUAUAAUGUAUAUUCUUACGUCAGUUCAUUAAAAUACUGCCAACAUAUCCAGUAUAUUCUUACGUCAGUUCAUUAAAAUACUGCCAACAUAUCCAGUGUUAAUUAUUUGGAAAUUGAAACCGACUUUUUUUGUCGGUGGAUAACUAUGUUGAAUCAUAUAAUUAGAUUUAGAUUAUCCCACCCUGUGUUACAUAGAUUAUGCAGCCUACAUAAAACUUGUAUUCACGGUCACUUUAUUAAAAGUUCAUUCUUUUUGGUACAUAUAAA